GUUCCCUGCUGGACGUUGCAGAUGGGGUAGUCAUGGGGGCAGCAGCUGUAGUGAUCGUCACAGCAGGUGGCGCCCUCGAGCGGGCAGCAGCCCCAGGCGAAGCAGUACUUGCCAUACUCGUAGAUGCAGCAGCAGGUGGUGCUCUCAGGGCACGAGUAGUAGUUGUCGCAGACGCUGGGCUCUGGGGUGGGGGACGGCGGAGUCGGGCCAGGGUUCGGGGGGUUGGCGCCCUCCUUCAGGGGGUACGAUGGCUCAACGGCGAUACCGCACUUGCCGCUGGAGUCCUUGAUGUUGCGCUCCAUCCUGAUGUAACCGGACUCGCCCCAGCUGCUGCCCCAUGAGUUCUUAACGAUCCAGUAGUCCUUUCCAUUCUCUGUGCCAUAGCCGACGGCCGUGACACCAUGGUCCAACGCUGUUCCACACUUUCCAGUGAAGAUACCCUGAGACCAGGAAAUGUUAGUCAUCAGUACAAGACAGCUGAUUCAUGGAGUUGACACUAAUAGUAACAACAACGAACGAUGAGAUAAAAAAACAAGAUGGAGUAGGUGUAGGUAUCUGCGAAAUUGUGGACAAUGCAUUUGUCUGAAAAUGCCUAUUUAACUUUAUGACAAGGGAAAACAUUUUCAGGAUCUUCUGCCCAGCUUUUGAUGGAAGUGGAUGAUAGCUGACACCACUCUCUUACCAAAGCACAUCUUUCCAAAAGCCCUCACAAAAACACUUCAAAACUGUGUACCAUUAAAAAUGCUUCGCAGGGAACCAGCCAAGGAGGGGCAGUAUAGUCUUCGACAAAAAUAAAGCAGCAUGAUUCGUGCAAAGUGGUGGGGCACUGAAGCACUAUUGUAUUGCAUUGCUAUUAUGUAGUCUGGAUUUAGUAAACUAAGUCAGGGGUAUGAACAAGGUAUUAUAAUUGAUGUAACACUUGCAACUUGCAGAGUGACAGCAGAAUCAUUCCUUGUAGAGAAAAUAAUCUUGAGCAAAGCGAUAUGAUGGGGACAAUUUUAAAGCAAUUAGGUGACUCAACCUAACAUGUGCAUGUCUUGUUCAAGGCAGAUGGUCUUUCUUUUACGGUCAUGGAGAUACCAUCAACUAAUCGCUACCUACUGAUAGUCAAAUACUAGAUGAUUCCAUAAAUUCAUCUCUGAAUUUAACCAAAUGGUCCACAGAUGAAUCCAGCAGCAAGGUUAGUGUCAAUUACCGAGCUGUAGAGCUGAAAUGCAUUGCCACCAGCCUCAAUAGCAACACUGACGGGCUGGUUUGCAACUGCUUUCUGCAGACUCUUCUCACUGUUCGCUGGUACAUCUUCAUAGCUGUCGAUAGUAACAACCUUCGCGUUUUUCUGCAAUGAACCCAACGCACAAAACCAGCAGUAAGAGAAAAAAUGACGCUGGUAUUUGGAAAAUCAAGGGAAACCAUGAAGCGAAAAAUACCUUGUUGGCAUCACACCGGCCAUCUGUGCCCUUGUAAGGGUAAUCAGACUCUGUGUCGAUUCCACCAUUGUUGAUGAUGAACUCAAACGCAUAGUCCAUCAGACCUCCAUUGCACCCCUGGUUGUAUGAAGUGUCACAGUCGACAAGCUCCUGCUCAGACAAGGAGAUCAAGUCGCCCGUAACAAUCUGGUUGAUGCCUUCCACAGCUGCUAUUGUUGAGAAAGCCCAGCAACUCCCUGGAAGAGAUAAACAUAGAUUAGAUUUCAAUGUCAAUAUGUCAUCAGCAUUAUUGUUUAAUCCUGCACGUCAAUUUAAAAAAGGCAGCCAGCCAAGUAACAACACAGAGUUAUAAAAUCAAAAGAGUGAAAGCUACCCACAAUAGAGUGGAAAAUAUCUUAUGGGCGUAGCAUAUUUUUAUUUAAGAGAAGAAAUUUGUGGUGAUGAAUAGGAUGCCGAGGGAGACAGGCGACCAAUAGGAACGUGAAACGGCCACAAGAGCCGUGAUGAAAGUCGUUUCCAAGGCUAAUAUCUGGAAUCAUGAAGUGAGCUUGUCCAGAGGAGAAAAGGAGCAUAUUGGUCCAGCCACCUUGUCAGCUAGACAGCGACUGCUAUUAGUGUGGAGUAAUAUUUUUUCUUGGUUGCACCUUCCAGCAGGGUCACUGCCUCACUGGAGUUCACAAGGAGCAAGGUGAUGUCCAUGUUCGAUGAACCUACUUAACAUAGUAUAUGUCGCCUUUCAUGCAAGACAAUACAGAUCAAAUACACGAAUAAUUUUUACACCUACUGUAUCGAAAAUCAUUGCAGUAAUAUUUGUCACAUAAAACAAGACACGGGACCAAGUUAAACAAAUCCCAUAAAAUUAGCUCUAGAACCGAAACAAAGCUGUAACCAAACAGAAUAAUUUUAUUUGAAGUAAUUGUUAGCGUGUCUAUCUAUGGACUUCGAAUUCAAAAGCGUACUAAUCUAUAUGCGUGCCAUCUCUGCAACCUCCCACCCAUUAUAAGGCACGACUAACGAAUUGCAGAAGCAGAAGCUUGCCGCUUAGCGUUGACCUUCAGGUAGAACCGUAGAAGACACAAAUCCCCUACUCCCUUUUUUUUCCUCAUGUGGAUAACAAUAAAAACUACCUACUGCAAGUUGCGGAUGAACAGACUUUACAGUUUUUUCGGGCGAAACAUAUAGAAAACAUGCCCGAACAACUUACCCAUGUUCUAUCUAGAAUUAUUAAGCAGGUCAGCUUUCAACCGCAGGAGAGCAAUAAAAAAAAGGCAGGGAGGAG
rnacentral:lncRNA from 1 species